rnacentral:rRNA from 1 species
UCUUGACCAAAUUACGUGCCAGCAGUCGCGGCAAUACGCAGAAGACAAGUGUUAUUCAUCUUUAAUAGGUUUAAAGGGUACCUAGACGGGAAAUCAAGCCAUAAUAGGAACUAAUUUUCUAGGGUUUUAUGGAAGAAAGUCGAAUAUCUGGAGUAGAGAUAAAAUAUUAUGAUACCAGAGAGACGGGUAACGGCGUAGGCAGCUUUCUAUGUAAAAACUGACGUUGAGGAACGAAGCCCUGGGUAACGAUAAGGAUUAGAUACCCCAGUAGUCCAGGGAGACAAUGAUGAAUGCCAUAGGCUAGAUAAAUUAGUCUAUAAAUGAAAGUGCAAGCAUUCCACCUUAAGACUAAAGCGGCAACGCCCAAAUUGAAAUCAUUAGACCGUUCCUGAAACCAGUAGUGAAGUAUGUUAUUUAAUUCGAUGAUCCGCGAAUAACCUUACCACGUUUUGAAUACUAUUCAAUUAAUACAAGCGCUGCACGGCUGUCUUUAGUUAAUGUCGUGAGACUUUGGUUAACUCCUUUAAUUAACGAAAACCCUUGUUUUAUUUAUAC